rnacentral:lncRNA from 1 species
AGCUUGAAGUGUCCAGGAGCUCCGGAGAACUACCCUCCCCUCACGGGUGUUUUGACUGCACUUAGUCAAUGCCGAGCACCUACCAGGAGCUCUAACACUGAUCCCUUUGCUCUUUCCAAUCACGCAGAGACACACGCACACCCUGGGGAGGUCCCACCGAAAUACAGGUCCUUUAAAUGUACCACUGAGCCAGCAAGAAGGUGAAGGAAAAGCCAAAAUCAAAAAGCCAGGAAUUCCUGAAGGCUUGACCCUUCCCAGACCCUGCUCCUGUGACCCAGCCAAUUUUACAGAAUCAGCAUUGCCCAAGUUCAUCGAGCCUUGGCACAUCCAAGUGGUCUUUCAUGACUUCUUCAUUAUAGCACCUCAAAGUUGGUCACUCAUCACCAGGGAGAUGCAAAUGAAAACUACAAUGAGAUGUCACUCCACACCUGUCAGAAUGGCUGGAAUCAAAAACACAAGAAACAACAAUGUUGGUGAGGAUGUGGAG